rnacentral:lncRNA from 1 species
UGCUGGACAAGACAGCAUUCAGAGAUAAUGGAUUUUCUUCUUGUCUCCAGGACUUUAAUAUUUUGGAUAACCAAGGCCAAUGAGUGUCUGAAAAGAAUUAAUUCCUGUACAGCAUUCAACACAAUUUUGUCUGUGAAUACCAGUAAUAACAUUCUACUUCAUUUCUCCACUUCUGGGCACAGUUUGACUGGGAUUCUUUUUACCCCUCUUCGAUUUCUACAUUUUAAACCACUGUUUAUAUCAGCAGCCUGGCUGAAGAAUGUCUGAAAGAGUUUGAAGUUCAAGGGGAUGUUUGUGUGUGUUUUGGCAGAUGUUAAGAAGUUUUUCAAAAAAUGAGUGCUGGUGUCUUACUAGAGGAAACUUCUGUCUUCCAACUGAGAACCUCUUGAGAGCUUAUUUGUUGCUCUACAUGCUCUGUCUGGUAUGGCAGUGAUACCUUUCACAUUUUAGAGAUUUCACUUUACGAGCACUGCUUCUUCUGUGAGCACUGCUUUUCUUCUUCUUUUCUUUUCUUUUUCUUUGAAGGGAAAUAAAAUUUAAGCAAACAUAACA